rnacentral:lncRNA from 1 species
GGUAAUGGGCUAUCCUCAAUUCUCAAAUGUUUCAAAUGUGGAGCACUCUGUUUCAUGUUGUUAUUUAGUUUCCUCUGAACAUCUAAUGUUUACGCUCUGUGUUUGAUUAGGUUUGCAAUCUGAAGCUCUUGCUGAGGAUUCCCUUAACUGGAAUUCAGCAGUUAACAACUAUUGGUCACUUCUUUCACCUUUAAUAUUUUCUGAUCACCCAAAGAGACCUGGAUGCUCUGUGUUUUAUUAGGUUUGCAAUCUGAAGCUCUUGCCGAGGAUUCCCUUAACUGGAAUUCAGCAGUUAACAACUAUUGGUCACUUCUUUCACCUUUAAUAUUUUCUGAUCACCCAAAGAGACCUGGUGAUGAUGAUCCUUCCCCUCCCUAUAAUAUGCUUAGAAAUGUGUUGGACAUGAAUGCCCAUUUUGGUGGUCUGAAUGCUGCACUACUGGAUGCACGAAAGUCAGCAUGGGUCAUGAACGUGAUUCCCACUACUGGGCCUAAUUAUCUUCCCCUAAUUCUUGACAGGGGAUUUGUUGGUGUUUUGCAUGAUUGGUAAAUUCUUCUCUCUUUCUCUGGU